rnacentral:lncRNA from 1 species
CUAUUUCGGUGUCGAAUACGGGUAAGGGGUGUUACAGGGAGGUUCCGCUAGAAAAUUUAGCAGAAAAGAUACUCUCACAAUGAUUACAUUAUGCCUUCAACUUGUCUUUGUUCUCACAUUCAAGCUUUGUCAUUUCAUCUCACACCUUUGAAGUAGUAGACUUUUGACAUUUGAGACCACUUUCAUAUAUAUUAAAUCCAUCACCCACAUGUAUUGGAGUGUUUGAACUAGCCAUUGUCAUAAAAUCUGAAGUCCUGAAAUCGUAAAAACUCAAUUAAUAUAUAAAAAAUAAAAAAAAAGAGUAGAAUUACUUUCUAAAUACAUAUAUGAUUGGCUAUGGCAGCAUGAUUUGAAAGCUUGCUAAAGUACAAGUACUAAUAGUGAAUUUUGAUCAUUCAUUUUCUUAGGCAUACAUAUUUAAC